ACCCUCUAGGUACGUGCCCACCAGUUGGUACUGCCUCCCUGUGAGGUGGUGUCUGACCCCUGACCUCUAACCCUCUAGGUACGUGCCCACCAGUUGGUACUGCCUCCCUGUGAGGUGGUUAUUAAGGUGGUGUCUGACCCCUGACCCCUGACCUCUAACCCUCUAGGUCCGUGCCCACCAGUUGGUACUGCCUCCCUGUGAGGUGGUGUCUGACCCCUGACCUCUAACCCUCUAGGUACGUGCCCACCAGUUGGUACUGCCUCCCUGUGAGGUGGUUAUUAAGGUGGUGUCUGACCCCUGACCCCUGACCUCUAACCCUCUAGGUACGUGCCCACCAGUUGGUACUGCCUCCCUGUGAGGUGGUGUCUGACCCCUGACCUCUAACCCUCUAGGUACGUGCCCACCAGUUGGUACUGCCUCCCUGUGAGGUGGUUAUUAAGGUGGUGUCUGACCCCUGACCCCUGACCUCUAACCCUCUAGGUACGUGCCCACCAGUUGGUACUGCCUCCCUGUGAGGUGGUUAUUAAGGUGGUGUCUGACCCCUGACCUCUAACCCUCUAGGUACGUGCCCACCAGUUGGUACUGCCUCCCUGUGAGGUGGUUAUUAAGGUGGUGUCUGACCCCUGACCUCUAACCCUCUAGGUACGUGCCCACCAGUUGGUACUGCCUCCCUGUGAGGUGGUGUCUGACCCCUGACCUCUAACCCUCUAGGUACGUGCCCAC